UGCGCAGGCGGGCUUGUAAGUCAGUGGUGAAAUACUACCGCUCAACGGUAGAACUGCCAUUGAUACUGCAAGUCUUGAAUAUGGUUGAGGUAGGCGGAAUGUGUCGUGUAGCGGUGAAAUGCAUAGAUAUGACACAGAACGCCGAUUGCGAAGGCAGCUUACUAAGCCAUUAUUGACGCUGAGGCACGAAAGCGUGGGUAGCGAACAGGAUUAGAUAACCUGGUAGUCC
rnacentral:rRNA from 1 species